rnacentral:rRNA from 1 species
CCUACGGGAGGCAGCAGUGAGGAAUAUUGGUCACUGGUCGGGAGACUGAACCAGCCAAGCCGCGUGAGGGAUGAAGGUACAGAGUAUCGUAAACCUCUUUUGUCAGGGAGCAAAGGCGGGGACGUGUCCCCGGAUGAGUGUACCUGAAGAAAAAGCAUCGGCUAACUCCGUGCCAGCAGCCGCGGUAAUACGGAGGAUGCGAGCGUUAUCCGGUUUUAGUGGGUUUAAAGGGUGCGCAGGCGGUCUGUUAAGUCAGCGGUCAAAGCCCGGGGCCCAACCCCGGCCCGCCGUUGAAACUGGCAGUCUCGAGUUGGAGAGAAGUAUGCGGAAUGCGCGGUGUAGCGGUGAAAUGCAUAGAUAUCGCGCAGAACUCCGAUUGCGAAGGCAGCAUGCCGGCUCCACACUGACGCUGAGGCACGAAAGCGUGGGUAUCGAACAGGAUUAGAUACCCGAGUAGUC